rnacentral:rRNA from 1 species
UACAGAGGGCUCAAGCGUUGUUCGGAUUCAUUGGGCGUAAAGGGUGUGUAGGUGGCGCGGUAAGUCGGGUGUGAAAUCUCGGGGCUUAACUCCGAAACUGCAUUCGAUACUGCGGUGCUUGAGGACUGGAGAGGAGACUGGAAUUCAUGGUGUAGCAGUGAAAUGCGUAGAGAUCAUGAGGAAGACCAGUGGCGAAGGCGGGUCUCUGGACAGUUCCUGACACUGAGACACGAAGGCCAGGGGAGCAAACGGG